CGCAUGAGCUUGAUCAUCUCGCUAAAAUAUUAUUUACAAAACCAAAAACCUAGUAAUCUAAACUACUGAAGUGUCUACAUAGCGAUCAAGGAGGUUAUUCACACCUCUUUGAUAACGUUCAUUUUUGUCGCAAGUUAUGCAAGCUAUACUGAUUCGAAACUGAAUUCGUCGUCGCAGACGACUGUAGUUCAUCCGUAGUUCAUUCCCAUGGUGUAGUUCCAUCUAUGAAAAAUUCAAACUCAAGUACAUACAUACGUACGCACGUAUGUACAUACCUGUCGUUAGGUGUGUCAAACGGUUUAAACAUUAUGUCACGCAUAUGUUGAGGCAGCAUCGCUCUCAUUUGGAAAUCCACGGUUUGGACAAUGAUUCCACAAGGGUGUUCAUGACGAGAUAUGCAUCUGUCUACAUAGCUCAAACACAACAAUGUAUCAACAUGGAACAAAAACUAAUUAACAACUAUAACGCAAACUGAUUAUUCGUUAUGAUUGAAAAAAACACAGCCAAAACUAACAGUGAGAUGGUUAGAGUUAUCUUUGAAAUUCAAGGUGCAGCUGUUGACCAGCAAUGUAAAAGACAAAAGACAAGAUCACUCAUUCUGGUAUGUAAUAUGUCAUUGUAAUUGUUUGAAAUCUACCUUGUUGGUGAUGAGUUCCUUGAAUCGGAAAAUCAAGGAAAAGCUUUGCUUUUACCAACUACAUGACUCAAUGUUCUUCCCUGAUGGUAAUCGCAAGUUACAACAGGUAAUUAAACCUCCUAAUCAUUUCUCAAGAUAACAUUUUGUCUGAAAAAUUGUUUAUUCAAAUAAACACAAGGAUUCUAUUCAAAUCGAAAAGUAUGCUUGAUUCCUCUUCGAACAUCUAGCUUUGAUUAGUAUCACUGAUAGUAUUACAUGGACGCCAUAACAAGUCUAAUACUGUUUGAAAAACAAACAAAUAAUUUUUCUCUAGCGGAAAUUAUCAGAAAAUGAUCCUUGUAUAUUUAGACCAUAUUUACUUCUCUGUAUUCACAUAUGGAAAGAAUUUUCCAGAGUUCCAGCUUGUACUUCAAAUUAAUGGGUCGAUUCACCGAUUAAAAAAUGCUUGUGGCUUUAAUUUGCUUCUGAGGCGUACACAUACUCUGAAUCUGUAACUGACAAUCAAAUCAAUUCGCUUAUUUCACAAUUGAAUGAUAGAAUAGUAACAGCGCGAUUAAUACGGAUAUUUUACUCCAUAUGAUUUCUUCCUGCUCCUCAACCGAAUCCAACCAAUUCCGAUCGAUUGAUUUACCCAACUCUAAUUCAGCUUAUAAAUUAAAACUU
rnacentral:misc_RNA from 1 species